CAGGGAAACACCUCAUACCUCUGGGUUGCGCAGUGGAAGAGGGGCUGGUCAUCAGGAAUAUAUCGCCUAUAUAUAUAUUUUUAAAAUCCUUAUUUACUCAGAUCUAUGACUCGUAUUCUUGAAUACUCACUCACAUGAUAGGAAUCUUUACAUACAGAGAAAACAGAAGAUUGGAUUUUUCAGCAUUCAGUUUUUUUCUUCUUCACACAGUCAAUGACAAGCAAGAAAUGUGAGGAAACAAACAGAGAAAGAGAGCGAUAUGGAGAUCAGUGAAGAAGAAUCCCGUUCCUCUAGCCCAGAGGUGAACCAGUCUAAUGCGCUGCUAAAACAGGAGAGCAUUGAUAAAAGACCAAAUUUUUCUCAUGAUUCAGGUGGUCCAGAACAGUGUCGGCCUGAUAUAUCUGAAGAGGUCCGUGAUAAGAGCAUGAGAAUGUGACAUCAUCAGCCUGCUCUACCACCGGCACCGGCGAAAUGGCGUUACGAGGGCACAAUUGUUUUUUUUGUUUUUUUUGAAAUAUCAUGAUUUUAUCACGAUUCUUUGUCAUGUUUGUUUUUCUAUUUUGUAAGCUGUUUGAGCAUCACAGCCAAACUAAUUUUCCUAUUAUAAAGCCUUUUAAGGUAACAAAAUAUGAAAAAGUAUGGCGGAUAUUUAGGCCAAAGUGCAUGGGUAAAGAUAGAAAUCUUUGUCAUUAUUUUAUCUUUGUUAUUUAAAAAAUGAGAACAAAGAUACACAUUACAA